AUGCCGGCUCCAACCCAGCGAGAGCGCCGCGCCCUGCCCCGGAGAUGCGCGCCGCGCCGGGCCAGAGCCGGUGGCCGCGGCGCCCGCGGGGUCCAGAACGGAGCCCGCAAUGCAGACUCGCCAGCAAGCCCAGCGCGGGGCCCGCGACCCCCGCGCCCCUCGCGCCCCCGAGCCCUGGCCCCAGGGCCGCCUGAUCUAUGCGCCCACCUGCCUUGCCGCGAAGGGACGCGCCGCCCGCGCUCGGACAGCGCACCUGCCUGGUCCGCGGCCCCAGCCCCGCCGCCACCGGCAGCACCAGGGCCAGCGCCGACUCACCUGCCGCGCCGCGCCGCUCCGCUCCGCUCGGUCAGCCCGCAGCGCCGCAGUCACCGCUACCCGACUUCCAUUUUCUCUCGCUUUAAAGGAAAAUCGGAUCAGCUGUUUUGCUCUCGCUCCGGCUCCGCGACCCCCUCCCCAGCUGCUGCUCGCGGUCUCGGGGGCCUCUCCUCCCCCGCCUCCUCCCGCGCUCCGCUCCGCCCCUCGCGCCCCUCCGCUCCGCCCGCGGCCGCGCGCAGUGCCCGCCUCCCGGCUCCGCCUGCAGCCGACCGGCGCGCGCCCUCCCCUGACGUCACCGGCCGCAGCCGCGCCCGACACCCCGUUCUCGUGGACGUGCGCGCGCCGCAGCCGUCUCCGCCCCGUGCUCGUGGCCACAAGCCGCGCCGUGGACCGGAUCUCUGGGGAAAGCGUACGGCGCCCCCACGUCCGCGCCCCCACGUCCGCGGCCCCGCGUCCGCGCUCCCACGCUCGCCCUUCCCGGUGCCCCUGGGCACCUGCCUCCGGGGCUGCGGGAAACGCUGCUUAAAUUGCCUGCCUUUGCCUUCAGCCUGCCUUUCUCAUUUCUUCCUCUCUGUUCUCUCGUCUUUUCUAAGUAUCCCAAACUUUCUCCCACCCAUCCUGUCUCGGCUCCACUCCCAAGCCCUGCUCCCAGGCCAAUGCAUCACAUCUAAUUCAGAGUUGGUCCUUUUGCCUCCUAAACCGGUUCUCUGA
rnacentral:lncRNA from 1 species